rnacentral:rRNA from 1 species
UACGGAGGGUGCAAGCGUUAUCCGGAUUCACUGGGUUUAAAGGGUGCGUAGGUGGAUUGGUAAGUCAGUGGUGAAAUCUCCGGGCUUAACUCGGAAAGGUCAACUGAUACUGCGGGGCUAGAGUGCGGAAGGGGCAACUGGAAUUCUCGGUGUAGCGGUGAAAUGCGUAGAUAUCGAGAGGAACACCUGCGGCGAAGGCGGGUUGCUGGGCCGACACUGACGCUGAUGCGCGAAAGCCAGGGGAGCGAACGGG